GAUCAUGGCUCAGGAUGAACGCUGGCGGCGUGCUUAAUACAUGCAAGUCGAACGAAGCACCUUGGACAGAAUCCUUCGGGAGGAAGACCAUUGUGACUGAGUGGCGGACGGGUGAGUAACGCGUGGGUAACCUGCCUUGUACAGGGGGAUAACAGUUGGAAACGACUACUAAUACCGCAUAAGCGCACAGUACCGCAUGGUACGGUGUGAAAAACUCCGGUGGUACAAGAUGGACCCGCGUCUGAUUAG
rnacentral:rRNA from 1 species